UACAGAGGGGGCAAGCGUUAUUCGGAAUUACUGGGCGUAAAGGGCGCGUAGGCGGCCACCGCAAGUCGACUGUGAAAUCUCCGGGCUUAACCCGGAAAGGUCAGCCGAUACUGCAGGGCUAGAGUGCAGAAGGGGCAACUGGAAUUCUCGGUGUAGCGGUGAAAUGCGUAGAUAUCGAGAGGAACACCUGCGGCGAAGGCGGGUUGCUGGGCUGACACUGACGCUGAGGCGCGAAAGCUAGGGGAGCGAACGGG
rnacentral:rRNA from 1 species